rnacentral:lncRNA from 1 species
AGAGCAUGUGAAGUCCUGGGGAAGGAGGACAGUCAGGAUUUUCUGGCCUUGGUGCAAGCUCUGGAGGGAAUCAGCCUCUCCGAUGAUCAGCUGAACUCCACCUGGGCUGUCCUGGCUGCCAUUCUGCAGCUGGGGAACAUCUGCUUUACCUCCUAUGAGAAAGAAUCCUUUGAACACGCAGCCAUCGCCAGUGACACCGAGAUUCAGAUUGUGGCCAAUCUGUUGUGUGUCUCAGCAGAGCUCCUGCAGAGUGCUGUCACUCACCGUGUCACUGUUACAUCUUAUGAUCGGAUCUUCACCCCUCUGUCUGUGGAAGGAGC